rnacentral:miRNA from 1 species
GGACGCCCAGGUAAAUUAGAAUUUCAGAUCAACAAUGAAUAAUUUUUAGCAUAAGUAUGCCCCGUGCAAUAUUUGGGACAUACUCAUACUAAAAAUGAUCUCUUGUUGACCUGGAAUUCAGAUUUAACUGG